GCCGGGCGCGGUGGCGCGUGCCUGUAGUCCCAGCUACUCGGGAGGCUGAGGUGGGAGGAUCGCUUGAGCCCAGGAGUUCUGGGCUGCAGUGCGCUAUGCCGAUCGGGGUCCGCACUAAGUUCGGCAUCAAUAUGGUGACCUCCGGGGAGCGGGGACCACCAGGUGCAAGGAGGGGUGAACCGGCCCAGGUCGGAACGGAGCAGGUCAAAACUCCCGUGCUGAUCAGUAGUGGAUCGCGCCUGGAAUAGCCACUGCACAUCCAGCCCUGGGCCAACCAUUAGCGAGACCCCGUCUCUU
rnacentral:SRP_RNA from 1 species